rnacentral:hammerhead_ribozyme from 1 species
AUCCAUCUAACGAGUUCCAAAUAGGACGAAACGCACAUCUUGGAU